rnacentral:lncRNA from 1 species
CACUCUCUCCUCAGAUGGGCCUCCUCUGUUCUCUGCUUUGCGCUCCCUGCAAGGAGUCCAAUCCUCGAAGGUGGGAGAGUCCAGAGAAGAAAAGAGCCAAAUGGUUGUGGGCUGCACGUAGAUGGUGAAGGAGAAUCAGAGUUGAAAUGCAUAGAGGCUCUCUAGGACACAGUGCAAACGUGUAUCUUCAGUAGAGACGGGGUUUCUCCAUGUUGCUCAGGCUGCUCUCAAACUCCUGACCUCAGGUGAUCCACCCACCUUGACCUCCCAAAGUGCUGGGAUUACAGGCGUGAGCCACCAAGCCCAGCCUCCUCCACCUAUCUUUAUCCAGAUGCACAUAACUGUUAUCCUCUGCCUGUCCAGUAAUGUAUAUUAGAAUUGUGUUGGUAGAAGGGCUGAGGCAGGGCUUGCUU